CCUUCCCUAUUCUACUAUAAAUUCAAGUCCCUUCUCAACCCUAAACCUUCAUCUUCUCUUCUCUUCUCUUCUCUUCUCUUCUUAUUAGUUUUCACCCAAUCAUACUAGCUAUAUCCCUCAUUCUCUCUUUUACAGAAUCAUCAUCUAUAGAAUCUAAAUAUCCUCUCUAGUGGUAUCUACAAGUGGCCCUCUUCUUAUUCUUCCACAGCUUUCUUGAACUGCAUGGCAUGGCAUGGGAUUGGCAAGGCUAAAUUAUUCUCCUAUGACUAGGAGAUUGGUGGAUGUGCAGUGGGGUUAUGGCUUCUGUAGUUCAAUAAAGCUGUGGGAAGAUAUGGACAGGGCCUGGUAUGAAGCUGAGAAUUAUGGCCAAGGUCCAUUCAUUUUAAAGUCAGGAGGUCCCUUAGAUCAGCUUCUGUUUCAUGUAUGUCUUCUGGGAUGGUUGUAGCAGUAAUUGUAUUUAUGGUAAUGUAGUAUUUAUAACUUGUAUGGCCUAAAUUAACAAACUUUCAGACCCACAUGAACUACUGGAGAUGCAGCAUUUCAAAUGCUGCAUUUAUAAAGAUGUGAUGUCUGUACAAGUCUUUCACAGGUAAAUGUCUAGCUUGUAUGGAUCAGUUGAUCUUAUUUCAUGUUUAACAUUGCACACUUAUACAGUUUAAUUUAGAAAAAAAAAAAAAUUCCAUUUAGCCUAUACUCUUUCAAGGGCCUAAUCAAGACCCUCUUGUGCAAUCUCAAGAUUCCAUUAUUCUAGUUUGAAGUAAAUACUGUUGAACUAAGGGAAAGCAAGGCCUUGUUAUAUUUGUGAUUGUUAAACAACAAUGAUCAAGGAUUCCUCCAUCCUUUCUAAAGGUUUUGGUUUGUUUUAUGAUCAUGAUGAAUAGUAUCUCAUGGUUUCUUGUUGAUAGCUACUUUACUUUAAAGGGUCAAAUUAAUGAUUCUUGUUGCUAAUGUUGAGCUCACUUUUUGAAUUAAGAUCCCAAAGAAAUAAUAAGAUUAAGAUUGGAAGUUGAACUCACAAGAAUUUUACUGCUUUUUUUUCAGUAGCUACAUUCAUUUAUUACUCAGUCAUCCAAGUCAAAAAGAUCAACUCCUGGUUUGAUUGGAUGGAUCUUUUCAACUGAUACCUCUCUACUUUGGAGAAAGAAUAAAAAGGGAAACACAGAUAGGUAUGGCUUUUGUGUUAUUCAAAAAUGGAAAGCAAAAGCUAGCUCUUAAUUUAUAUCAAAAGAAGGGAAACUAAAGAAGUUUAGUGAAUCAAAUGCAAUCUUCCUACAUUUGGAGAACAUUGGUAUCAUAACUCAUGUAUUCUGUUAUUAUAUUUUUCCUUGAAGUAGUGAGAGUAAAUUCUACUAGGGCUAGGGUAUAGCAGCUCAAGCACCAUUGAUGCAGUACACACCACUGAUACACCACCC